GUCCAGAAUAAGCUCCUCACUUUAUUCUCUCCAUCUAGCUCAAACGAGUAGCAAAAGCCAGGAUUUUCUGUUUGUUUCUUGUUGAACAUUUGCACUACUUCCAUCAUGUCAGAGUUUGUGAUGUCUCUGUUAAUUGUUGCUGCAUAGUUUGUGACAUGUUUCUUUGUGUAGGGCAGAUGAGCCAUUCCUCCUCUCAAGUAAGCCAAGACAGCUACAAUCCUUCUUGUUUCCAGGUUUGUAUGCUUCAACACCCUUAUCAAGCACUUCUCUUCAUCCGACAUGUACUUAUGUGACCUGAAGAAUCUACUGUUUGGUGUUAACUCAUGGUUGUGUUCUAGUUGUUGUCUUGUGAUUUCCCACAUGCCUCCUUUUUCUGAUAUGACCAUGACGACUUUACAAUCUGUUUUAGCUAUGACUGUAGAUUUUCUCAUGGGCACUAUGCAUUCCUUAUCUAUUUCUUUUGUCUUGCCCCACUUGUUGCACUUCACAGUGAUCCUUGUCACCUCAUUGUUCCUUUUUUUGCUUGAUGUUCUUGAGAUUGCUACUGUAGCCACUGAAAAUCCUGCCACUUUCGAGUAGAAAUUGAAAUAUUCCUGAGCUUCUUCCUUCGUUUUGAACUGCAUGCCUAAUCGAGGCUUGAAAUUACUGCUAGUGUUCAUCAGGUUUCCCUCUGACGCAGCUUCUUGUUCAUUUUGCAGGAAUCUUUCAACGUCUUCUUCGUCGAGGAAUUCAUCUUCUCCCUCUUGUUCUAGUGAGUGUUCUGGUUCUUUUCUUUCUCCUUCUUCAUUGCUACAGCCUGUGCUUGAGUUUGUUUUAGCUGCUGCUCUUCUUAUGUCAACAUCCUCAGGCUCCUGCAACUUUAGGUUUUUGUGUUAGUUUUUUUCCUGAUGUAAUGUCUCAACUUUCUCAUAUGUUCAUCGUUUGUUCUUUCUGAAGUUUUUGUAGUAUGUACCUGUUGCAGAUUCAUGUUGUAGAACAGGUCUGUGUCCCAUGGAUUAGAUUCUCCUCCACCAUCUUCACUUGCUGCCACUUCGUGAUGCAAGUCUCCCUCAAAUGUCUGCAAAGUUUUUGAACAGGAAAUUCCUCCAUGAUCUGUUCAUGUGAGAGGUGGAGAGAGAAGUUGGGACUUUUUUGCUGACCUGUGGAUCCUGUUGUGGAUUCCUCUCUGAUGAUCUUCUUUCUUGCUGCUCGUCAGGUGAGAUCUGUCCAGUGGUUUGCGGGAGGGGUUUGGCCCUUUUUCGUGCGUUGCAAGUUGGGCACAUGCUGUGUGGGCCUGGAGGUCGACAGAGGUUGGGGUAGGUCCCUGAUUUUUGUGGAGUGGGUUGUUGUCGAGGGUUACCGGGUCAAGUAUUUUCCCCGACCUGUUUUGGCGUUCUUUUUCCGCUGUUAGCUGUUCUUGUGGCUGUACAGGUGUCAUCUGUUCAUUUGUCAGGUUUUUUGAAUGUUGUUGAAUUGGAAAACACUCGAAUGUCAAAUAGACAGUCCCUAAAA